UACUUUGUCGUAACCACGACUUUUAAAGUUACAAGUCAUUCCUUGUAGGACUACUCUCUUUUUCUUUGUUUUAGUAUCCAUCUUGUCGUUCUGGCCAUCCAUGUUGGCCUUCCGCUAAGCUAAUAUAUGAACUUUUUCUUCAGGUAUAACCAGUCAAUAUGUGGAAGUGGAGCAGAGCUGUGAUGAGUUGGAUAAAUGCACCUGGAAACAAGAUGAAAUUGGUACGCCAUAUGCGGUCACCGUGCAAGAAUCUGCACUCACUAAUGGUGUUGUUACAUUACGUAAUAGAGAUACAAAACUAAGUGAAUUUUUACAUUUAUCCGAAAUACUCAAAACGGUACAAAGACAUUUAGAUGGUUUUAAUUGCUGACCCAAGGUCACUGUCUUAAUAAAGAACAUAUCUCAUAGACGUUUGAAUUCAAAUUAAUUAAAAUAGGGGAUUGAGUGAUUAUUAUGCACGAUGGGGGGUGCAGGGGCACACCACCUAAUGGUGUCUAACACCCCCUAUAGACAAGUCUAUUUUUAGUGCUUUAUCUGUAAAUUAGUGUUAAAAUGAAGAGACGUUAAAUGGUAUGUCAAGAAGAAUGUGAUGCCUGAAGUUCAAUAUUACUUUCUUAUCUACGUUUAACCUAACCCAUCCUGUCAACAUUAGAGACCUUACGAUUUUAGGACGGCAACCGCGACGGCGACGGCCAAAACAAACUCCUUCAAAUAAAUGGUAGUCGAUAGUUCGUCGUAUAUUAUCAAUCGUAUGAAUUUAAUACAGUCUUAGAAGUUGAAGACAUGGGUUUUAAGGUUGGGAAGAGUUCUGCUAAACCCAGUUUGAAGUUGCACUUGUUGUGGCUUGGAAUGCAGCCGUUGUAUCAACACGUGAAAAUAUGUGAUUUGGCGUUGUAAACAGAGCGAGGACAAUGUCUAAAUUAUUCAUUUAUUGUAAUUACUCAAUUCUUUUCAAUGAUCUAUUAUAUUGGUAGCCGUUGCCGUCGCGGUUGCCGUCCUAAAAUCGUAAGGUCUCUAUUUCCUGUGUGAGGAAAGAGGAUCGCCCGGGAGAGAACCAACAACUUUCGGCAGAGCGUUGACUGACUUUUUAUAGCGAGAAUCCAACCCACGAUCUCAGAGGUGAAAGGCGCUUUUCUGACGACUCCGUCGUGAGAGAGUUAUAUUUGACCAGGGCGCAGUAAAACGCGGGCGGCGGAACGGCUAUGGUGCCCUUGAUACUCCGUGCCUGCAUGAUUCGAUCGGACGUGUUUGUUUUGUCUUCUUUUUAAAUCUACGACGUAAAAAAUACAAUUCGAGCUGAUUUUGGAAUGGAUCUUGGGGAUCUGUGCUAUUACAACACAAAUGCUUUUCUCAGGAUUCUUAAUUAACCAUGGCAAUAGAUGCAAUAGGUUAAAAACGAGAAGUUAUUAUCGCAAGGAAAGUGCUGCCUCACCCCAGGGACCAAAGGCCCGGACGAGAUGUGACAGUGGUAGUAUAUAUGUAGUAUAUACAAUUAUAGAAUACAUGCAUAAAAUAAUUAUAUAUAUUAUAAUAGC